GACAGCCAGCACCGCCCGCCGGGGGACACUCACCUUUCACGGUUACCGUCACCAACAACAACAAUAUAACGGGCAGCCGCUAGGACACACUCUCCGUGACAACCAAGGCCUGUCCGAGCCGCCGGGAUCACUCCGCCUGGCCGGGAUACGGAUCGUGAUAACAAACGGAACGCGUGCCUGAGCCGCCGGGGCUGCGCCCUCCUCCUCACCCGCUCCCUCUCCGUACACACUGUGCCCGCCGCCUGCCUGCUCAGCCUUUACUCUCCCAGAGGGCGGGGACAGAGCGACCAUAGACACGCCCAGAGGGCGAGAGGUGCCCCGACGUCAUACGUUGCCUCUCAGUGGGCGGGGCGAGCUUUGGUUGCUGACUGAGGCGAAAAAGCCCCUACAACGCCUGAGUGAGUGGAACGCCGCUGCCACGUCACUCGUGGUACAGCCAAUCAGCGCGGCCCAGACUGGCUCUGCUGCUCCCUCACACUGUGUUCCCGGAUCAGAGCCGCGUCAUAGAUUAAUCAUGGCGGUCCGAUGUGACCCCGUCCGCUGACUCCAGCCUGUGACUGGCUCUCACCUGAAAUGUCUAGUUUCAGUUUUGUAAUCACUUCCUGCCCGAGCUCGGCAGACAUGCUGGGUGGAGGGAGAUUACAGGAAGCGCAGUUGGUUUUGUUACGUCAUAUAUGUUGUGUACAUUAUUAUCAAUAUAAAAAUCAGCUCAGAAAUAACAUGUCUAUUAGACUCCUAUACAGGACCCCCGCAUACUUGAAAACAAGAGAAAUCUUAAUGUAUCUCUUCUGGUAAAAUGUAUGUAAAUAAUAAUGGAGCACGCUUAGCUUGUAACAAGGGCGGCAGGCACUCUACGUUGUCCUUAAAGAGGCGGCUCUAAACCUGCGAGGCGGCUCUAAACCUGCAGGGCGGCAUAGUACGCCAGGCGCCCUACUGCUCCG